rnacentral:rRNA from 1 species
ACUGCUCAGUAACACGUGGACAACCUGCCCUUAGGACGGGUAUAAACCCGGGAAACUGGGUAUAAUUCCCGAUAGGUCUCGUCUGCUGGAAUGCAUCGAGAUCCAAAGCUCCGGCGCCUAAGGAUGGGUCUGCGGCCUAUCAGGUAGUAGUGGGUGUAGCGUACCUACUAGCCUACAACGGGUACGGGUUGUGAGAGCAAGAGCCCGGAGAUGGAUUCUGAGACACUAAUCCAGGCCCUACGGGGUGCAGCAGGCGCGAAAACUUUACAAUGCUGGGAACAGCGAUAAGGGAACCUCGAGUGCCAGGUUACAAAUCUGGCUGUCGUGAUGCCUAAAAAGCAUUAUAUAGCAAGGGCCGGGCAAGACCGGUGCCAGCAGCCGCGGUAAUACGAU